rnacentral:tRNA from 2 species
UGGUAUAGCUCAGUUGGUAGAGCAGCUGAUUUGUAAUCAGCAGGUCGGGGGUUCAAGUCCGUCCACC